rnacentral:rRNA from 1 species
AUUGAACGCUGGCGGCAGGCCUAACACAUGCAAGUCGCACGAGUGGCGGACGGGUGAGUAAUGUCUGGGAACCUGCCUGAUGGAGGGGGAUAACUACUGGAAACGGUAGCUAAUACCGCAUACCAUCAGAUGUGCCCAGGUUGGAUGAGCUAGUUGGUGGGGUAACGGCUCACCAAGGCGACGAUCCGUAGCUGGUCUGAGAGGAUGACCGGCCACACUGGGACGUAGACACGGUCCAGCCGCCUACGGGAGGCAUGAGUUGGGAAGUUUGCGCAAUGGGCGCCAGUCUGAUGCAGCCAUGCCUGGUGUAUGAAGAAGGUCUUCGGGUUGUAAACUACUCUCAAUGGUGAAGCGUUACCGGAAGAAGAAGCGCCGGCUGACUCCGUGCCAGCCGCCGCGGUAAUAC